UACGGAAGGCAGCAGUGGGGAAUAUUGCACAAUGGGCGCAAGCCUGAUGCAGCCAUGCCGCGUGUAUGAAAAAGGCCUUCGGGUUGUAAAGUACUUUCAGUCGUGAGGAAGGUGUUAAGGUUAAUAACCUUAGCAAUUGACGUUAGCGACAGAAGAAGCACCGGCUAACUCCGUGCCAGCAGCCGCGGUAAUACGGAGGGUGCGAGCGUUAAUCGGAAUUACUGGGCGUAAAGGGCACGCAGGCGGUUAAUUAAGUUGGAUGUGAAAUCCCCGGGCUUAACCUGGGAAUGGCAUUCAAGACUGGUUAGCUAGAGUCUUGUAGAGGGGGUAGAAUUCCAUGUGUAGCGGUGAAAUGCGUAGAGAUGUGGAGGAAAUACCGGUGGCGAAAGGCGGCCCCCUGGACAAAAGACUGACGCUCAUGUGCGAAAAGCGUGGGGAGCAAAACAGGGAUUAGAUACC
rnacentral:rRNA from 1 species